UAAGACCAACAUGCGACUAAGCUGUCAUAAGCCCAAGAUGCAUUUAAGGCCUUUCCUUAACAUGAUCUUAGCACUCUGAUUAAUAACCCCACGAAAGCCAAGGCACAAACUGGGAUUAGAUACCCCACUAUGCUUGGCCCUAAAUCUAGAUGUUUAUUCCACCAAAACAUCCGCCCGAGAACUACGAGCACAAACGCUUAAAACUCUAAGGACUUGGCGGUACCCCAAACCCACCUAGAGGAGCCUGUUCUAUAAUCGAUAAUCCACGUUACACCCGACCGCUCCUUGCCAAAACAGCCUAUAUACCGCCGUCGUCAGCUCACCUUCACUGAGAGAACAAUAGUGAGCUUAAUAGCUCUGCCCGCUAAUAAGACAGGUCAAGGUAUAGCCUAUGGAACGGAAGAAAUGGGCUACAUUUUCUAAAAUAGAAUACUCUACGAAAAGGGGAUGUGAAACCACCCCUAGAAGGCGGAUUUAGCAGUAAAGCGAGAUAAUAAAGCUCGCUCUAAGCCGGCCCUGGGGUACGUACAUACCGCCCGUCACCCUCC
rnacentral:rRNA from 1 species